UGGGAGAGUGGCACGCCCACAUUUUUUUUACGCACUUGAAUUUAAGAAAAGCGCCCAAGACCUGCUUGUCAAGGUCUGGCCGCUCAUCGAGUGUUUGUCUGGAUUAAAAGCGUGGGAAGCACGCGUCGGACUGUCGUUGCGAACUUUGUCCAAACGCUGGAAAGUGCGCAGAGCGGCCGCACCCGCCCUCCGCUCCCCUGGUCCUUAUCUCUCAUCACCCGUUAACCACGGUGUUGAUGCUCUGUCACUCUCGGAGAUGGAAACGGUGGUUUCCACGGGACCAAGUGCCAGCUUUCCAUCCUGCGUGCAGCUUCCUGUCCCGAUAGGGCGGAAUGAAGUAUGGCACGGAGACAUACGGAUGGAAACUGGGUGAUUGAUCACUUUGUAAAUGAGAUAAUCCGGAACGAUCUCUCCAGCACCAACAUCUGAUCGUAGCUGGCGACACGGAACUCGCUCCGAAGCCGCGUGGUGUCGACUCGGCCGCUGACCGUUGAGCUUCGGCACCAGGACUUCAAGUAAACUGAGCAGAGCCCUGGUGCCGGUCAGACCCCCGGCUUCAUGAAGAUUUGCAUUGUCCGCUCACAGAAGCUGCCCAGCGGCUGGUGGGACGGGCCACUCCUCCCGUGUCAAGACCGGAAGGGGCACGCCUCCCACGGGGGGACUCCAGUGCUGGAAGUGCCUUAUUACACAGACCCCAGCAUCGGGGCGCCACGGGGGAGCCCUGAGUCUGCUACCAGGAGAGUAUUUGUAGGAGCAGAAGCUAUAAAGACACUUCAUCCUGAGGCUUUCUCUUGUAUAAAUUAGGAGAAUACUGGCAAGCUAGGUAGGCAUUGUGAGAAAUACCUCCCACGUGCUUCCUGCUUUUUUUCUCGGCUUUCCUUGGGCUGCAGCGUGCAAUCUGUUGCCUCAUUCGGUGCAUCGUAGAGGUCUUCUGCUUUGUCCUCGCUCUCGUCACCUGCCCCCUCCCCCGUGUUACUGGAACCAUAGGAUCGUUAAUUGUAGCAUGCUAGGGUUUUGUUUUUAAUCUGGCUUUGAGCGUAGCGCGAGUAAGAUGAUAGCACAAGAUAGGUUGCUGGACGAACAAAGAAGUCUGUCUGCCACACGACAGCUCUUGCGUUUGCAUGUAUGUACAGAUUUGGCACAUAUUUAAGUACAAAUAAUAACGACAGAGGCGGUGGCGUCCGGUCUUUGCCCAGCGAGGGCUGCCGUGUCAGCAGCAGUAACCAGCGUCCGUUCCGGAAGGUGCAUCUAAGACAAAGCCUGGCUUUUCAACUGCGUGCACCGGGGCCCACGUCCCUCCAGCGGGCCUUCGUCGUCUCGUGCCGUCAGCCGAGCACUUUAGAAAGCCAGGAGACGUGUGUUCUCAAUGCCUGGAUGCUACCAAACGGCAGGUGGGAAAGUCACUGUAAAUAACAUCACAAGAGGAGUGUAAUAUAUUUGUUCAGCUGUAAGAUUAUUACUUCACAGAAGCCUUAUAUCUCUGCUUCAUCUAAGACAACGAUUACCAAAAACGUUUUAACAUGCAGCGACUGUAGUAUGUUUUCCGACUAGUUACUGUUAACGGAUAGGUUGGUGUAAGCUUUACUACUGCGUUUGUGCAAUUAACAGCUUAUUACACGUUGUUACUAGCAGUGACCUCUUGUUCCGCGUAACCAAAAAGCAUGGUCUGAUUGGCUAACCUAAUAAUUGUGCCUUAGGAAUUCAUGCCCCCUCAUGGAACAUGCCUGAAUUGCACCCGCCGGCGGAGGUCGUAAGUUACAAUAACGAAACAUAGCGUCACGGUAGAGAACGCUCUCCCACGGGAACGAUGAUUUUAAAACUGCUCUUCAGUGUGGUUAUGUCUUAUUCCUGUCUGACUCCCAGAAAGGACACGGCCCCGAGAGCCACAUCUGUAGCAUUUGCACACAGCUGUCACGGGCGACGGUGCAUGGCUCCUCGUAGACCUGACCCCGCUUCUCCCAGGCUGCUGCCCCGCCCGUAGCCCAGACCGCAGCCCGCAGUUAGCGCCCCAGGACUCGCAUGGAACACUUCUCAGUAGGCUGUCCUAAGGAGAGGAGACAUUUGGUAUUCGUGUCCGCUGUCUGUGCUUAGGAAAUAGAUCCAAUAAAGCAAUAUUUUUUUGCUGGAC